GACGUAGGGCGCGAGCGUUGUCCGGAAUUAUUGGGCGUAAAGAGCUCGUAGGCGGUCUGUCGCGUCGGAUGUGAAAACCCAGGGCUCAACCCUGGGCCUGCAUUCGAUACGGGCAGACUAGAGUUCGGUAGGGGAGACUGGAAUUCCUGGUGUAGCGGUGAAAUGCGCAGAUAUCAGGAGGAACACCGGUGGCGAAGGCGGGUCUCUGGGCCGAAACUGACGCUGAGGAGCGAAAGCGUGGGGAGCGAACAGG
rnacentral:rRNA from 1 species